rnacentral:rRNA from 2 species
AACGAACGCUGGCGGCGUGCUUAACACAUGCAAGUCGAACGCGAAAGGGACUUCGGUCCUGAGUAAAGUGGCGCACGGGUGAGUAACGCGUAGAUAACCUGUCUUUGUGUCUGGAAUAAUACUUCGAAAGGGGUACUAAUACCGGAUAACCUUGCUUUUCACAAGUUAUGCAAGCAAAGGUGGCCUCUGAUACAAGCUACUGCAUGAAGAGGGGUCUGCGUACCAUUAGCUAGUAGGUGGGGUAAUGGCCUACCUAGGCGACGAUGGUUAGCGGGUCUGAGAGGAUGAUCCGCCACACUGGCACUGGAACACGGGCCAGACUCCUACGGGAGGCAGCAGUGAGGAAUAUUGCGCAAUGGGGGCAACCCUGACGCAGCGACGCCGCGUGAGUGAGGAAGGCCUUCGGGUCGUAAAGCUCUGUCAAGAGGAAAGAAGUGCAUAAUGGUUAAUACCUGUUAUGUUUGACGGUACCUCUAAAGGAAGCACCGGCUAACUCCGUG